rnacentral:rRNA from 1 species
CUGAACUUUGUCCUUACUUUUGUAGGAUAGGUGGGAGGCUUUGAAGCUGGAACGCUAGUUCCAGUGGAGCCGUCCUUGAAAUACCGCCCUGGUAAUGUUGAGGUUCUAACUCUGUCCCGUGAUCCGGGACGAGGACCGUGUCUGGUGGGUAGUUUGACUGGGGCGGUCUCCUCCUAAAGAGUAACGGAGGAGUACGAAGGUGCGCUCAGCGUGGUCGGAAAUCACGCGUAGAGUAUAAAGGCAAAAGCGCGCUUAACUGCGAGACCCACAAGUCGAGCAGGUACGAAAGUAGGUCUUAGUGAUCCGGUGGUUCUGUAUGGAAGGGCCAUCGCUCAACGGAUAAAAGGUACUCUGGGGAUAACAGGCUGAUACCGCCCAAGAGUUCAUAUCGACGGCGGUGUUUGGCACCUCGAUGUCGGCUCAUCUCAUCCUGGGGCUGAAGCAGGUCCCAAGGGUAUGGCUGUUCGCCAUUUAAAGAGGUACGCGAGCUGGGUUUAGAACGUCGUGAGACAGUUCGGUCCCUAUCUACCGUGGGCGCUGGAAAUUUGAGAGGAUCUGCUCCUAGUACGAGAGGACCAGAGUGGACGAACCUCUGGUGUACCGGUUGUGACGCCAGUCGCAUCGCCGGGUAGCUAUGUUCGGAAGGGAUAACCGCUGAAAGCAUCUAAGCGGGAAGCCUACCUCAAGAUAAGAUUUCCCUAGGACUUUAUGUCCUCUAAAGAGCCGUUCGAGACUAGGACGUUGAUAGGUUGGAUGUGGAAGCAUAGUGAUAUGUGAAGCUGACCAAUACUAAUUGCUCGUGAGGCUUGACUAUACAACACCCAAGCAGUUG